rnacentral:rRNA from 1 species
ACUACGGGUGGCUGCAGUGGGGGAUAUUGCACAAUGGGGGGAACCCUGAUGCAGCGACGCCGCGUGGGUGAAGAAGCGCCUCGGCGCGUAAAGCCCUGUCAGUAGGGAAGAAAAUGACGGUACCUGAAGAAGAAGCCCCGGCUAACUACGUGCCAGCAGCCGCGGUAAUACGUAGGGGGCAAGCGUUAUCCGGAUUUACUGGGUGUAAAGGGGGCGCAGACGGCGAUGCAAGCCAGGAGUGAAAGCCCGGGGCCCAACCCCGGGACUGCUCUUGGAACUGCGUGGCUGGAGUGCAGGAGGGGCAGGCGGAAUUCCUGGUGUAGCGGUGAAAUGCGUAGAUAUCAGGAGGAACACCGGUGGCGAAGGCGGCCUGCUGGACUGCAACUGACGUUGAGGCCCGAAAGCGUGGGGAGCAAACAGGAUUAGAUACCCGAGUAGUC